UACGGGGGGGGCAAGCGUUGUUCGGAAUUACUGGGCGUAAAGCGCACGUAGGCGGCUAUUUAAGUCGGGGGUGAAAUCCCGGGGCUCAACCCCGGAACUGCCUUCGAUACUGGGGAUCUUGAGUUCGGAAGAGGUGAGUGGAAUUGCGAGUGUAGAGGUGAAAUUCGUAGAUAUUCGCAGGAACACCAGUGGCGAAGGCGGCUCACUGGUCCGAUACUGACGCUGAGGUGCGAAAGCGUGGGGAGCAAACAGG
rnacentral:rRNA from 1 species